GAUGAAGAACGUAGCGAAAUGCGAUAAGUAAUGUGAAUUGCAGAAUUCAGUGAAUCAUCGAAUCUUUGAACGCACAUUUCGCCCGCUAGUAUUCUGGCGGGCAUGCCUGUCCGAGCGUCAUUUCAACCCUCAAGCCCCCGGGCUUGGUGUUGGGGAUCGGCGAGCCUCCGCGCCCGCCGUCCCCUAAAUCUAGUGGCGGUCUCGCUGUAGCUUCCUCUGCGUAGUAGCACACCUCGCACUGGGAAACAGCGCGGCCACGCCGUUAAACCCCCAACUUCUGAACGUUUGACCUCGGAUCAGGUAGGAAUACCCGCUGAACUUAAGCAUAUCAAUAAGCGGAGGA
rnacentral:misc_RNA from 1 species